CCAUCAAUAACAAAUUAAAUGUACAUCUCAGAACUGCCCAAACUCCAAAGAUACCAAACCAAAGUUGGGUAGAACCCAGCAACUGCAACUCCUACCCCAGCACAAAAUUCAUGCCCAUCCAGCAACUGCAACUUCUUGCUAUCAUCU